AAGUCAUUUCAUAGAGAGCUUGUGGGGCUAUGAAACCAAGAGCUCUUAAAGCUGCGACUAAAGACUGAAGUUUCCAUAUGAUGCCAUAGACAUACAAUAGUCCCAUGUUAUCCAGAAGGAGAUAUGAUA
ensembl:snoRNA